UGUGUGUAAGGUGUAUAUAUGGUCAGUAGUGAGGUGGUGUUUAUUAAUUAGUGUGUGUGAGGUGUAUAUAUGGUCAGUAGUGCGAUGGUGUUUAUUAAUUAGUGUGUGUAAGGUGUAUAUAUGGUCAGUAGUGUGAUGGUGUUUAUUAAUUAGUGUGUGUGAGGUGUAUAUAUGGUCAGUAGUGUGAUGGUGUUUAUUAAUUAGUGUGUGUAAGGUGUGUAUAUGGUCAGUAGUGUGAUGGUGUUUAUUAAUUAGUGUGUGUAAGGUGUAUAUAUGGUCAGUAGUGUGAUGGUGUUUAUUAAUUAGUGUGUGUAAGGUGUGUAUAUGGUCAGUAGUGUGAUGGUGUUUAUUAAUUAGUGUGUGUAAGGUGUAUAUAUGGUCAGUAGUGUGAUGGUGUUUAUUAAUUAGUGUGUGUGAGGUGUAUAUAUGGUCAGUAGUGAGAUGGUGUUUAUUAAUUAGUGUGUGUAAGGUGUAUAUAUGGUCAGUAGUGCGAUGGUGUUUAUUAAUUAGUGUGUGUACGGUGUAUAUAUGGUCAGUAGUGUGAUGGUGUUUAUUAAUUAGUGUGUGUAAGGUGUAUAUAUGGUCAGUAGUGCGAUGGUGUUUAUUAAUUAGUGUGUGUAAGGUGUAUAUAUGGUCAGUAGUGAGAUGGUGUUUAUUAAUUAGUGUGUGUAAGGUGUAUAUAUGGUCAGUAGUGUGAUGGUGUUUAUUAAUUAGUGUGUGUGAGGUGUAUAUAUGGUCAGUAGUGAGAUGGUGUUUAUUAAUUAG